AUGCGCCUGUUCAGCUUCUCCGAUUCAGAUUCUCUCCAUUCUCCGCCGCUCUUAUUCUCUUCUUCUCUCAAUACAACGGCGCCACGACUACGCUAUCUUCUCCGACUGCUCCGAACUUCUCCUCUUCGUCUCUCAACCUCGAUCCAAACAACCUCUGUCCAGUCUCAUCUCAUCUCUUCACCGUCAAUUCUCAGCGCCACCUCUCCGCUAAGUUCACAAAAUCAAGAUCGGCCCAACCUUCUUCGACCUACUUUAGUUCUCCUCGUGUCUCGAAGACUGAAUAAACAGCGAGAAUCGAUGAAAAAUGAUGAUUACGAGAGCUUACCUGCAAGAGAACGUCCGGCGCGUCUGUGA